UUGAAAGUGAAACUGUGAAAAAUCAUUUGACUUUGUCAGGUGCUUGCUGAUGAAGUUUGCAUUUUGCCUUCUAUUCUAUUGUACAAUUUGACUAAAAAGAGGGCGGGGAGAUAUGGCUUUUGCACGGGCUUUAGACUUGGUACUGGAUCAUGAAAAAAUAUUUCUUUUUCAAGUAAGACAAUUGGAAGUACCUAAGUUAUGUUUCGGCUUGUCUGCUACCGUUCUACGUAUGCUCAUGGCUGCUGAUAGUGCUGAAUCUUUAUAGAACAAAACCUUUAUGCAGAUUCCUAAUUGCAAGAAUGAUGCUCCACAACUAAGAGAUUUGCUUGCACCAUUAUUUAAUGGCCUGUGUCCUUGAUUCUUCAUUAGUGGCAGAGAAGAAUUUGAAUUAGUUGAAAGCAUUUAUCCUUCAUUAUUCUGAUUCUAAAUUACUGGUAACAAUCAAAAGGAUUUAUGCACGUCUUCAAAGUCUGGACCAAGGAUUGAUCAACAUGAAGAACAAAAGGUUUUGUUAGAUUUUGAGUUCCCACUAUAGCUUAAGAGGCUUGAUUUGAAAAAUUCUAGUUUGAAGGCCUUAUAAACUAAGCAACAAGCAUUAAUAAAGCAUCCUCAGUUUAUCUUUA